AUUUGCAGCGCCGCCAAUCGUUCCUUCCAUCCAGCGCUGCGUUUGAACGCUGGUCGGGGUUGAGCGAGUUCCCUUAAGAAUGGGGUGACGUUGCUUCUGCUGUGGAGCCCUGCCUGAAAUGAGGCUGCUACCGAGGGGGACACCGAGCCGGCUGGGAGUCCGCUCUCAAGCUUGGACCUCCGACGUAACGCCCGACAACGUCAUGUAAUUAUGGAAAAUAUAAAUGGUUGCACUGAGGCCGACCGACCGGCCGGCCAAGCUGAAUCUGUCCGUAACAUCCGAGCAGAGACGGAAUGAAUUUGCAUCGGUGCCACGGUGACUGAUAUGCUUGUGCCAGAAGUGCAGGAAAUCAGCCGUCCGUGAUGGAAGUGAAGAGAGCGUUGGCACUAUUACAUUGCUUUGUAAUUCACGAAGAAAACAUCUUUGAACAUUUUUCUGGUGUGUGACCUGGCCUUCUUGAUUAAAGUCAAAGUCAACUUUA